rnacentral:rRNA from 1 species
UAUCCGCCAGGAACUACGAGCGCUAGCUUAAAACCCAAAGGACUUGACGGUGUCUCAACCCCGCCUAGAGGAGCCUGUUCUAGAACCGAUAAUCCUCGUUCAACCUCACCAUCUUUUGCCCCCCCCCCC